rnacentral:rRNA from 1 species
UGGGGAAUAUUGCACAAUGGGGGAAACCCUGAUGCAGCAACGCCGCGUGAGUGAUGACGGCCUUCGGGUUGUAAAGCUCUGUCUUCAGGGACGAUAAUGACGGUACCUGAGGAGGAAGCCACGGCUAACUACGUGCCAGCAGCCGCGGUAAUACGUAGGUGGCAAGCGUUGUCCGGAUUUACUGGGCGUAAAGGGAGCGUAGGCGGACUUUUAAGUGAGAUGUGAAAUACCCGGGCUCAACCUGGGUGCUGCAUUUCAAACUGGAAGUCUAGAGUGCAGGAGAGGACAGUGGAAUUCCUAGUGUAGCGGUGAAAUGCGUAGAGAUUAGGAAGAACACCAGUGGCGAAGGCGACUCUCUGGACUGUAACUGACGCUGAGGCUCGAAAGCGUGGGGAGCAAACA